UACGUAGGGACCAAGCGUUGUUCGGAGUUACUGGGCGUAAAGGGUGCGUAGGCGGCGUGUUAAGUCAGCUGUGAAAUCUCCGAGCUUAACUCGGAACGGUCAGCUGAUACUGAUGUGCUAGAGUGCGGAAGGGGCAAUCGGAAUUCUUGGUGUAGCGGUGAAAUGCGUAGAUAUCAAGAGGAACACCUGAGGUGAAGACGGGUUGCUGGGCUGACACUGACGCUGAGGCGCGAAAGCUAGGGUAGCAAACGG
rnacentral:rRNA from 1 species